rnacentral:rRNA from 1 species
AACGAACGCUGGCGGCAUGCCUAACACAUGCAAGUCGAACGAGAUCUUCGGGCCUAGUGGCGCACGGGUGCGUAACGCGUGGGAACCUGCCCUUAGGUUCGGAAUAACUCCCCGAAAGGGGUGCUAAUACCGGAUAAUGUCCUCGGACCAAAGAUAUAUCGCCUUUGGAUGGGCCCGCGUUGGAUUAGCUUGUUGGUAGGGUAAAAGCCUACCAAGGCUACGAUCCAUAGCUGGUUUGAGAGGAUGGUCAGCCACACUGGGACUGUGACACGGCCCAGAAUCCUACACGAGGGAGCAGUGGGGGAUAUUGGAAAAUGGGCGAAAGGCUGAUGCAGCAAGGCCGGGUGAGUGAUGAAGGUCUUAGGGAUGUAAAGCUCGUUUACCCGGGAUGAUAAUGACAGUACCGGGAGAAUAAGCACCGGCUAACUCCGUG